CUUUCUCUCGAUCUCAGUUUUUGUAUCCAUAUCAAUAUCCGAGCUUAAGUUUGAUAGACUGAGACGUUUUUUCUUUGAAUUGUUUCAUAGUACAUCGAAGUAUGUAUUUUUGAUCUCUAAAUGGAUAAGCGUCUUUAUGCAUGAGUGUAUAGUGUGCAUGUGCGUCUAUAUACAUAACUAUUUACUUGUAGGGAUAUAUUUUUUUGUAGGAAUUUUCAAUUGUAACUGAUAUGAUAUGAUGGUUGCCGUCUUAGACCAUCUCCAUCGAAGUUUCUAAAGGAGGGGUUUUAAGGAAAAGAAAAAUAAAAAUAAAUGAAAAAUAAUUAAAAGUCAGAGAACCGCUGUGUAUUUCGGGACUUUUAGUGUUGUUAAGAGACCUAUCUGUCAUGGUGUUAUUCGACCUCUCAUCUAUGACUCUCUCCUUCGUCGGCUUGUCCUUCUCCGCUCCGUUCGUUGCAAGCGUUCGACCGCUCCGUUCGUCAGCUUGUCCUCCUCCGCUCCAUAGGCGAAAUCAAUCGUUUUCUUCCUCCUCCGCUCCGUUCGUUGCAAGCUCGAGUCCUCCGCUCCGAUCAAACCUCCCGAGUUGAUGCAUGCGUCUCCACGCAAUCUGCUUCCAUGAAUUGAAGACUGCGGUGGUGUUGCUGGGAGAUACGGAGAUUCAUUUAGUGGCGAUGCCGAGCAAGGAGAAGAAGUUCCCUUGUUUCUAGUGUUUCUCAGUCUCUUUAGGUCUUUAUGAUUUCUUAUUCGGAUCAUUCCUGAGGUUAGUAGACAAUCGAGAGCGCUUUGUUCAUCCUCUGAACGAAUUUGAGUGUUUGUGAUAUAGGAUUCUAUUAGAGAGAUUGUUUCUGAGUAUAACGUUUACGAGCAUAUGGUGAUUACUAAGAUCAAAGGUCUGUUUCUACACUCAGUGCUUUGAUUUGCUCUCGUUGUUGUUAUCUUAACGUCAUGUGAUGAUUCAAUGUUUGUAUGCAGAUGGUGUAAACGUUGCUGCAUCUCAUCCUCUAAUACCAGGCGGUUUAGCCUUUGGUGUUGGAGUCUUUGCUCUGAAAAGUAUGUUUUCUAGAUAUGCUUUCAUCAGACACUUGCUUCUCUCUUUCAUUACUUUGCUUGGUUGUUUUAUUUUUAGGUGUUCUGAAGUUUAGAUGUGGUGGUAAAGUAAGUAAGCUUUAACAUGUUGUCUUGGUCUGUGCUGGAAUGAUGUUGCAAACCCAACAUCUUUUGCUUUCGCGGUUGUUUUUUGUGAAGAACACUUGGUUUAACAAUGAAUAUAACCCAACGUUAUGCAUGGCUUGCUCUGAGUUUAACCCAACGUCUAUUUAUUAUAUUUGUUUGUUC